UCAAUGAUUAUUUAGUGGUUAUGUAGAUUAUUUAGCGACUGUGCAAUUUGGUACUCUACCGAUCGAACAGAAAUUAGAGAUUAAACAUCUGGGACCCCAUAGACCAGAGGAUUUCACCCAUUGUCAAGAAG